GUGAGGCAUGCUGGAGGUAUCAGAAGUGCGAAUGCUGACAUAAGUAACGAUAAAGCGGGUGAAAAGCCCGCUCGCCGGAAGACCAAGGGUUCCUGUCCAACGUUAAUCGGGGCAGGGUGAGUCGACCCCUAAGGCGAGGCCGAAAGGCGUAGUCGAUGGGAAACAGGUUAAUAUUCCUGUACUUGGUGUUACUGCGAAGGGGGGACGGAGAAGGCUAUGUUAGCCGGGCGACGGUUGUCCCGGUUUAAGCAUGUAGGCUGAUUGUCCAGGCAAAUCCGGAUAAUCAAGGCUGAGGUGUGAUGACGAGGCACUACGGUGCUGAAGUAACAAAUGCCCUGCUUCCAGGAAAAGCCUCUAAGCAUCAGGUAACAUUAAAUCGUACCCCAAACCGACACAGGUGGUCAGGUAGAGAAUACCAAGGCGCUUGAGAGAACUCGGGUGAAGGAACUAGGCAAAAUGGUGCCGUAACUUCGGGAGAAGGCACGCUGGUGUGUAGGUGAAGUCCCUGCGGAUGGAGCUGAGACCAGUCGAAGAUACCAGCUGGCUGCAACUGUUUAUUAAAAACACAGCACUGUGCAAACACGAAAGUGGACGUAUACGGUGUGACGCCUGCCCGGUGCCGGAAGGUUAAUUGAUGGGGUUAUCCGUAAGGAGAAGCUCUUGAUCGAAGCCCCGGUAAACGGCGGCCGUAACUAUAACGGUCCUAAGGUAGCGAAAUUCCUUGUCGGGUAAGUUCCGACCUGCACGAAUGGCGUAAUGAUGGCCAGGCUGUCUCCACCCGAGACUCAGUGAAAUUGAACUCGCUGUGAAGAUGCAGUGUACCCGCGGCAAGACGGAAAGACCCCGUGAACCUUUACUAUAGCUUGACACUGAACAUUGAGCCUUGAUGUGUAGGAUAGGUGGGAGGCUUUGAAGCGUGGACGCCAGUCUGCGUGGAGCCAACCUUGAAAUACCACCCUUUAAUGUUUGAUGUUCUAACGUUGGCCCCUGACCGGGGUUGCGGACAGUGUCUGGUGGGUAGUUUGACUGGGGCGGUCUCCUCCCAAAGCGUAACGGAGGAGCACGAAGGUUAGCUAAUCCUGGUCGGACAUCAGGAGGUUAGUGCAAUGGCAUAAGCUAGCUUGACUGCGAGCGUGACGGCGCGAGCAGGUGCGAAAGCAGGUCAUAGUGAUCCGGUGGUUCUGAAUGGAAGGGCCAUCGCUCAACGGAUAAAAGGUACUCCGGGGAUAACAGGCUGAUACCGCCCAAGAGUUCAUAUCGACGGCGGUGUUUGGCACCUCGAUGUCGGCUCAUCACAUCCUGGGGCUGAAGUAGGUCCCAAGGGUAUGGCUGUUCGCCAUUUAAAGUGGUACGCGAGCUGGGUUUAGAACGUCGUGAGACAGUUCGGUCCCUAUCUGCCGUGGGCGCUGGAGAAUUGAGGGGGGCUGCUCCUAGUACGAGAGGACCGGAGUGGACGCAUCACUGGUGUUCGGGUUGUCAUGCCAAUGGCACUGCCCGGUAGCUAAAUGCGGAAGAGAUAAGUGCUGAAAGCAUCUAAGCACGAAACUUGCCCCGAGAUGAGUUCUCCCUGAGACUUUAAGUCUCCUGAAGGAACGUUAAAGACGAUGACGUUGAUAGGCCGGGUGUGUAAGCGCAGCGAUGCGUUGAGCUAACCGGUACUAAUGAACCGUGAGGCUUAACCUU
rnacentral:rRNA from 1 species